CAAAAAUUAGUUAAAAAAUAACAUUAGUUUGUCAGAUUAAAAUUAUCAUAUUAUGAUAUUUUUGG
rnacentral:tRNA from 1 species